rnacentral:tRNA from 1 species
CAUUAAGUAGCUAAUAAGGUAAAGCAUUAGCCUUUUAAGCUAAUAUUGGUGUCCACCAACCACCCUUAAUGA